CAUGACUGUGAUUGUUGUGUUUCAUCAUUAAGAAUAUCUCUUACUCUUUCCCAAGGCAUUCCCUUUGCAUCCAGGUAUUUUUCAGCUGACUUUACAAUUAUUUUAAUUCAUUCAGUUCUACUAGUGGUCUGUGCUGAGCAAUUGAUUAUCUCAGCCAUGAAGAGCACAAAAUCACCUUUACUCACAAUCAACGUAUCUUCUUUUAGUUGAUCACACUUUACACAUUCCUUUACAUCUUUAGUCCCAUCCUUUAUUGUUUCUACCGGUACACCUACACCUCUUGGGACUUUCUUAGUUGCCUCUGCAUAGGAAACCCCUUGGACUACUUUAUUUCGCUGUACCUCCUGCAUUCUUUUGUUAGCCUCACAACCUCCAUAUGCUGCACUAUGUUCUCCUCCACAGUUGCAACAUUUUAGUUUUGCCCCUUCUUCACACUUUCCAUAUUCAUGUUCAGGUGGAAUGUUUCAUGUACUCCUUACACUUUUAAUGUGAGUUGUUGCCACUGCCGUAGACCACGGACGUUUGUCUGACAUGUAGGUAAUAGCAUAAAGUGAGAGUUUGUGUUUAGCCACGUAGUUUGAACACGGGGCAGGUGGUUGUAGUGUCGUAACGUUUGGCUCAUCUUGCUAUAGACUGUCAUCUCCUUCCUACUCCUGUUUCCCUGGGACUACCAAUGCGAAUGCUGAACGUGGAGGUAGGCCUCUUACAAUAGCAAUAUUGCAAUAGCUAUGGUCAAACACUCAACUAAUGUGAGCAGACUAAGUUAGCUAUACGGGCCAAACAACAGCAUGCAGCGUCUGUAAUUUUCGCUCCCUUGUUUUUAUAGCUGACACACUUCCCUCCUCUGCUCCUGUUCCCCUGGGCUAGCUCGCAUUGUGGAAAAGGCCGAGAUCACAGCUGGCUGUCUAUCACAGUUUGACCACUGUUUUCCCCCAUUCCCCCUGAGUUUCUUUUGGUAUUAGUCAGUGUUAAACUAACAGCACGUCAAAGUUGGAUGUACGGUAUGCUUGUUUGUGUUGGUUUAUUUUCUUUGUGUUGUAUGCUUGUCUGAGUGUGAUACACUGGUGCAUUUACACUGUUUGCCAGGGUCUGUUACUCGACAAGGUGUAGUGCUGUUGCCAUCCCCGAGCUCAUAUUAGCAGCCAGUUAGCGAUUUCAGACUGUUACUCCGAGGCUAUUGAGACUUAUCCCUCCCCCCGGCAGUAUUAGUUCUUAAUGGGUUCUUGUAACCCCUGACUUAGCUUAUCCACACGGGAGACUGUUACUCCUGGGGCAUAGGGGUCUAUCUAUGCCCCAGGUGGUAUUAGUUCAUAUUGAGUUCUUUGUGACUCCAACCUAGUUUCUCCACACAGUAGACUGUUACUCUUGGGCCAUAGGGGUCUAUGUCCCAGGUAGUAUUAGUUCAUUAUAGUUUCUGCUAUUCAUUAUAGCUGUAUCGGUAGCACUCCACUGGCGCUGAAUAGCGUGUUUGUCUUGUUUUUGUUUUGUCUUGUAUUGUUUCCUUUAUUGAAUGCCCCCUCCUUCCCCCUGUUUGCUAGUAUGGUCUGCUAGGUCUAUCAGGUAACACAGUUAAGGUACUCUAGGACUGCCGCCUUCCCCUAGUUUGUGGUGAGGGCACAUUCUAGUGGUUGAGCGUGUACUGAACACCUAUUUAUACUCGUGUGGGUUGUAUUUAGAAAGCUUGAGUGUUACACUUGUGUUUGUGUGUAUGGCCAUAGAUCACUUUUGGGGCUGGGCAGCCAUCCGAGGGUUACUCUACCUGUGUUAAUUCAGGCCGUGUAGCAGCCACCAAUCCACUGGGCAUUUAAUUUAUGGUUAUGUGUGACAUUUUGUUUUCUUUGAUUAUUUUGUGUUGUGUAUUGUGAUUUUGUUUUUAUCGGAUUUACCUACUGUACACCCCUGCCAUCCGUUUUAAACAAAGAAAAGAAAUAAUAAAUACAACAUUGUUUAUA